rnacentral:rRNA from 1 species
GCACCCUUCGGGGUGAGCGGCGGACGGGUGAGUAACGCGUGGGAACGUGCCCUUCUCUGCGGAGUAGCCGCGGGAAACUGAGAGUAAUACCGCAUACGCCCUUUGGGGGAAAGAUUUAUCGGAGAAGGAUCGGCCCGCGUUGGAUUAGGUAGUUGGUGGGGUAAUGGCCCACCAAGCCGACGAUCCAUAGCUGGUUUGAGAGGAUGAUCAGCCACACUGGGACUGAGACACGGCCCAGACUCCUACGGGAGGCAGCAGUGGGGAAUCUUAGACAAUGGGGGCAACCCUGAUCUAGCCAUGCCGCGUGAGUGAUGAAGGCCUUAGGGUUGUAAAGCUCUUUCAGCUGGGAAGAUAAUGACGGUACCAGCAGAAGAAGCCCCGGCUAACUCCGUGCCAGCAGCCGCGGUAAUACGGAGGGGGCUAGCGUUGUUCGGAAUUACUGGGCGUAAAGCGCACGUAGGCGGACCAGAAAGUUGGGGGUGAAAUCCCGGGGCUCAACCUCGGAACUGCCUUCAAAACUAUUGGUCUGGAGUUCGAGAGAGGUGAGUGGAAUUCCCGAGUGUAGCGGUGAAAUGCGUA